GUGACUUUGACAGUUUCUUUGAAGGUUUUUCCCUCCACGUCUUCAACUGUUGAGUCCUGGUUCCUCAGGUACAAGAUCAAGCCUGAAGAGCAGCAGCAGAAUUUGACUUUAUCAGAUCACAGCUAAGGUGAGGUUUCCCUGUGGUGCGUUCAAUGCCUACCUGUUGGUGUAGACGGCACAUUCAUCAGGCUUCAUGAACGUCUGAUGCCUGUGGAGCCUUCUGGUCUGUGAGAGCAGGUGCAGCCAACAAGCAGGAAACCUGAGCUGGGCUGUUCCAUUACAGCAUCACUACACUCUAUGUAGAUCACCUCUGCAUUAUUGAUGGAUGGCUCAACCAGACACAUGCACACUCACGUGCACGACCACGUCACUCGGCAGAAGAACAACUCUUGGUGAAAAGGAGAUCCUUCGCUAAACACAAACCAGUUGUUCGUCCUCACCUGCAGCAGCACAUCCAUCAAUGGCCUGGCUGUACUUCUCCACAGCAUCUCCAAACUGACCAUGUUUGAAGAGGU